GAUGAACGCUGGCGGCGUGCUUAACACAUGCAAGUCGAACGAAGCACUUUAUUUGAUUUCCUUCGGGACUGAUUAUUUUGUGACUGAGUGGCGGACGGGUGAGUAACGCGUGGGUAACCUGCCUUGUACAGGGGGAUAACAGUUGGAAACGGCUGCUAAUACCGCAUAAGCGCACAGCAUCGCAUGAUGCAGUGUGAAAAGCUCCGGUGGUAUAAGAUGGACCCGCGUUGGAUUAGCUAGUUGGUGAGGUAACGGCCCACCAAGGCGACGAUCCAUAGCCGACCUGAGAGGGUGACCGGCCACAUUGGGACUGAGACACGGCCCAAACUCCUACGGGAGGCAGCAGUGGGGAAUAUUGCACAAUGGGCGAAAGCCUGAUGCAGCGACGCCGCGUGAGCGAGGAAGUAUUUCGGUAUGUAAAGCUCUAUCAGCAGGGAAGAUAAUGACGGUACCUGACUAAGAAGCACCGGCUAAAUACGUG
rnacentral:rRNA from 1 species